CAGGCCUUUAUGUACUUCUUCUGCUGUUAAUAAUUAUUGUUGUUUUGGACUCCCAUUUUGUGCCAGGUACUUUGCACAGGUAAUUUGGACUCUCUGCUUGUGGAUACGAGAGCAUAUUCUCGAUUGCUUGUCGGCACAUGAGAUUGCCCUGCUGGCUCCUUUCAGAGAUGACAACUGCAAGCUCUCUGCAGUCUGGAGGAGAGGAAACGCUGUUCCUGGAGGAUUGCUUGAAGGCUGUGCUGUCCGCUUGUGCCGCAGGAGUGCCUGUGCUCUGCCCUGAUUUCCAGUCAGGCUAUCCCUUCCCUUGCUGCCUGCUCCAUUCCGGGCAGAAUUGCCUCAUUGAGCUCCACUUUGGCGUUAUGCAUUGGCUUGUGCUGAAGGCAGAACCAGCCCUAAUAAGCUGGUUACUGUGCCUCUUGUAGGAGAGGUGCUGCCAUGGGGAUUGUGGAGGGGCAUUUCUCUCCCUCCUAGAACCGGGAAAAGGAGGGUUGAUCAUGGGAAGUUUCUUUUUAUCUGGUGGAAGUGAGUCUGUAUGCAAGUGUUUCUUCCUCCUUGCUUUGUCUGCAGGGAAGCACAUAGCCAAGUGUAUGACCCUCUCUAGGAGGUGCCCAGGACUGCAGUGUCAACACCUCUAUGUGCUGACCUCACCCUUGUCAGGGAUUGACCAGAGCAUGCUGGUCCCUUCAGGCCACUCUUUGGGCUGUCCUUUGGGGGUCCACUUCUGCAUCUGACUUAGUCCUCCCAUCCCCAUCAAGCAACCUUGGGAGCAGGUCUUCCUUUCCUCCCUGCAGACCUGUGCCUUCCUGGCAUCCCAACAGAUGUGGCUGACAUUUCAGGUUUCCAUGGGAACAGAGUCCGACUGUAGCCAGACAACUCACUAGAGAGGCUGGGGAGGAGUGAGCGUGUGAGUGAGUGUGUGUAUGUGCGCACGUGAUGCUCUAGGAGCCCAGGGUUCUGCGCAGCUUCUCCGUCUUGCACUGGCAGUGGCAGCCUCCUCUUGGUGGUAAUUGGGCCUGUCUGUAGCCCCUACAUCUCCAUCCUUGACAUAAUAUUGCACCAGGGUCCAUCCAUCUGCAUAAUCUUCUUAACCUGCUCCCACAAGAGAGUUUAAAAGAUCUGGACUGUUGGAAAAUGACCAUAAAGCCUGCAAGCAGAUACCUUUAGCAGCAACGCCAACAUCUAUCACAAGGUCAGGCCUUGGGGAAGGCUGAGGAAAGGCCAGGUGAGUUUGCUAAUCUGAUCACCCAGGACCAUGGGAAUGCCCAUUUCCCUCGUGGCACCUGCCUGGCCAGAUUUCUCUCUCUGGUCUCUGCUGGACUCCACCUAGCCUCUUUUCCUUGGCAGCAGCUCCUGGCACAGCCUGAUGCUGAGGCAGCUGUUUCUGACCAGGUCAAAGGCUCAGGAUGUGGCCCUUAAGAAGGAAUGAUGUGCUCCCCACGCUGCCCUGAUAUUUACUUUGACCUAGUCCAUGACCCUCCCUUCCUACUUGAGAAAACCAGCCUGCUGAGUCCUGGAGGCCCACAAAGGGGAAGUGCCAGAGGUGCUGGAACCCAAGUCUCUGACACCCUGUGCAGUUCUCAUCAUGCAGCUGAAGCCACGUGUCCCUUGGCGGUUAUUUGAUGAGCUAACUAUUCGGCUGUGGAAGUCUGACAGUUCCAUGGAGGCCCAAACACACUCCUGUGAGAUGUUGGGGUGCUAGAAGGAAUAACUUCUUGGGAGGCAAGACCCUUGGCCUGCAUCUCAGGUCUGCUAAGCCACCGUGUGAUGCUGAGUGAGCAGCUUGCCCUCUCUGGGCCGUAGCACCAGAGUUGUACUGUGAGUUGUCUGACUCUGGGAUCUCUCAAGGCCUCUUCAGGGACUCCUGCUCUGGGCAAUGUCAAGAUCUUCCCCAAGGCUCAAAGGAGAAGCUUUAGGUGGCAGACGUGAGUAUGCUGAGUAGGACUGGGGCCCACGGCCCUGCGGAGGAUGGUCCGCAGCAGCCCCUUCUCCUCCCUGCCGCCCUGGUGUUGGAGGCCCUGGAGCGAGCAUGGCGACAUCGGGCUGCCUGCUGCCCCCUGGCUGGCACAGUGGCCCACCUCUUUCCUUCUUCAUCCCUCUGUUCUUCCUGGGGAUCCCCUGGUGACGAAUGCUCGCUGUCUCUUCUGGAUGGGAAGUGGGCAUGAAACAUCUCCCACGGUUCAUGGGCGCUGGCCCUCGGACGUGGCAGAGUCCCACCCGUUCUUGGGCCCAACCUGGGCAGGUACGCAGUGGCAGAGAGGAAGGAGUGACGGCCUGCUCUCAGGAGCACUAGUCUGGCGGGGGAGGCAGCAGUACCAUUACCAUGGUUGUGAAUCCUCGUCCACUCACUUAACUGGCUUAGGCAUGUCACCUGUCCCUCUUUCCUAGCGCUCACGGCCGCCUCUACAGCCCAUCCUGGGGGGCGGGAAGGAGCCCCUCACCUCAGUUCUCCCAGGUUGUCCUUCUCCCUUCCAGAUGUGGGCACAGUCCAGCGUGCCCAGACAUCAGAGGGAGGACCCUCUGCUCAUCACCCCCGGUCCUCAGGACCUGCCACUUGCCCUGCCUGCGUGGCCCCAUCCACAGAAGGGUGCAGCCACCUUCCAGCACCAUCUAGGGCACGGGCUCCUUUCUGGGGCUGCCCAUGGUCCAUGACCCCCAUGAGGCCUGGUGGAGCCCUUGCUCUGGGCUCUUACUUGUUCCCUGGGGGCAGCACCAGGAAGCCGUGGGCAGGGCCCCUCUCCUUGAGGAACAGCUCUCAUUGCUUUCCUCCCUCCAGCUUGGGGAAAUCUCUUUUUGGUUUGGGGAGAAAUCCUUCCCCAUUCACGAUUCUUCCGAGAUCCCUUCCUUCCUGCUGAGAACUUGGUUCUCCCUCUUUCUUUCUCUGCAAAUCCUCCAUAUUCUUCUAACAGAUUUAUACUUUGUGGAAGCAAAAGCCAGGGUGUCCUUCAGGCAACUUCUGCUUUCUGCUGUGCAGCAAUCCACUUGUGAAGCAAGGAUACACAGAGACCAGGGACAGGAAAAGGAAAGCAGAAAAUUCAGAAAGGAGAAGGCUCCAUGAGUGCGUAUUUUAAAAUAGUGCUCAGGUACACCAUUUGGUGGAAACAUACAUGAACAUGAGUGCCUGCGACAGGCUCACGACUAAGGUCCCCAUGAAACAAAUGGGCUCAGACAAGGGCUAGAUUCUGCUGCGCUGGCUCAGGCCCUGGGGUGAGGACAGGGCAGGACAGGUCCUUGGCUGCAUAACUGGGAGCCAUCCAUGAUGGCAAAACAGCAUUAAACCACACUUGGACCAAGAGGGAUGUCUAUCAGAAACAUCAGUCGUGAGGUGCUAUGCAGAGGGAGGGCAGCCAGGUCCUCGGCUGCAAGCAGGAAGUGGAAACCUAGCCUGAGAUUCAGAAGAGGCAAAGAUCUUGGGCUUGGGGAGUGGCCCUAAGUGGGGCAUGGUUUUGUGGUUCAAGCUGAGGAGUUCAAACCUGGUCCUUAAGCCAUAGGGAGCCAUGGAAGGUUUUUGAGCAGAGGAGUGGGAGAUGAGAGAACUGGAAAGGUCCUGAGUCAGUUUGAAGAGACGAGAGGAAUAGAUAAUCACUGAGCUGGAGGGUAUUUGGAAGACUUCUGGAAGGACUCAUUCAUUCAUUCACUCAACGAAUACUUAUCUUGCACCUUUCACGUGCC
rnacentral:lncRNA from 1 species